CACAAUUAUGUCUAUUAAUGAGGUAAUGUGAUAUUUAGACACAUGCAUACAUUAUGUAAUAUUUAUAUCAAAUUAAAGAUUCCUGAAACAUUUAAUAUUUCUUUAUGAUAAAAACUUUAUUCUUUCUUCUAGCGUUUUGACAUGUACAUGUUAACUCUUUAAAAUAUUCAUGCUCACCCUAUUGUGCAAUAGUUUACUGGAACUUCUUAUUUCUAACUAUAUCAUUGAUCAACCUUUCCCCAUCCUUCCCUCUCCCUUACUUUUCCCAGUCUCUGGAAACCACCAUUCUAUUCUCAACUUUAUGGAAUCAACUGUUGUGGAAUCCACAAAUGAAUGGAUCAUGUGGCAACUCAUCUUUUUGUGCCUGGCUUAUUUUAGUUAAUGUAGUCAUCUCUAGUUCCAUCCAUGUUGUCACAAAUGAUAGAGCUUCAUUUUUUAUGGCUGAGUAGUAUUCUAUUGUGCAUAUGAACCACAUUUGCUUUAUUCAUUCCCCAGUUCAUAGACAUAGAUUGUUUUCAUUUCUUGGUUAUUAUGAAAAGUGACAAUGAACAUGUCAAUACAGAUGUCUCUUCAACAGCUAAUUUCAUAUAUGUAUAUGAAGAAGGCAUGAAAUUGCUGGAUCAUGUUUGUUUUAUUUAUUGAGGAACUGUCACAAUGUUUUCCAUAUGGCGUACUAACUCACAUUCCCAUGAUCAGUGUGCAGUGAUUCUCUUUUAUCUACAUCCUU
rnacentral:lncRNA from 1 species